rnacentral:rRNA from 1 species
AAACUUUCAACAAUGGAUCUCUUGGUUCCGGCAUCGAUGAAGAACGCAGCGAACUGCGAUAAUUAAUGUGAAUUGCAGAAUUCAGUGAAUCAUCGAGUCUUUGAACGCACAUUGCGCCCCCUGGCAUUCCGGGGGGCAUGCCUGUCCGAGCGUCAUUG